UAGUGUUAACAAUUCUUUUAGAAUUUGUCUAGCAACCUUUCUGGUUUUUGCUAGAAAGCUCUC
ensembl:snRNA U7 U7 small nuclear RNA